rnacentral:lncRNA from 10 species
GCCACUGUCCAGAACAGACGAUAAGAAUUUCACAGGACUUUCGUCUGGAAGUUUGCGGUUGACAAUGCGUUUUUACCUACAUGAUCACAGUAACUUUCCCAGCAAGGCUGUUAGCUAAAGAAGGUGCCCUCCCCGCCCUGGAGCCUGAGAGAGGACGAGCUGCAGCCUUGUCCAAGAGAAAGGCCCGGGGGACCCAGCCAUCCACCUCCCUGCCCACCACCACCCUUCCUUCCAAGGAGCACGCAAGACCAAGCCUAGGACUCGCUACAAAGCUCGGUUCCUAACUAGACCGGCGGGGACUGACUAGGAAUGGAAUCCAGGCAAACACCUGGCCGAUCAUAAUCAGGUGUUACUAAAUAUUCAUAAGGAUUACAAUCAGCACCUAGCACAGUGUCUGGGACAUGGCAAGUGCUCAAUAUUUAUGGAAGAAAAGAGUGAAUAAAUCAAGAAAUCGUCAUUAAACA